GCCCGGGUAGCUCAAUCGGUAGAGCGUGUGGCUCUUACUUGUCACCCGGAAUCCUCUGGUACCCAGAUAUGUAUAAAAACCUCAAGGUCGUGGGUUCGAGCCCCACCUCGGGCU